GAUGAACGCUGGCGGCGUGCCUAAUACAUGCAAGUCGAGCGAAUGGAUUAAGAGCUUGCUCUUAUGAAGUUAGCGGCGGACGGGUGAGUAACACGUGGGUAACCUGCCCAUAAGACUGGGAUAACUCCGGGAAACCGGGGCUAAUACCGGAUAACAUUUUGAACCGCAUGGUUCGAAAUUGAAAGGCGGCUUCGGCUGUCACUUAUGGAUGGACCCGCGUCGCAUUAGCUAGUGGGUGAGGUAACGGCUCACCAAGGCAACGAUGCGUAGCCGACCUGAGCGGGUGAUCGGCCACACUGGGACUGGGACACGGCCCAGACUCCUACGGGAGGUAGCAGUAGGGAAUCUUCCGCAAUGGACGAAAGUCUGACGGAGCAACGCCGCGUGAGUGAUGAAGGCUUUCGGGUCGUAAAACUCUGUUGUUAGGGAAGAACAAGUGCUAGUUGAAUAAGCUGGCACCUUGACGGUACCUAACCAGAAAGCCACGGCUAACUACGUGCCAGCCGCCGCCGUAA
rnacentral:rRNA from 1 species